rnacentral:rRNA from 1 species
GUUGGGCCUGCUCGGUGAGAAGAAAAAUUUAACAGCUGCGGUAUUAUAACUGUACUAAGGUAGCAUAAUAAUUUGCCUUAUAAAUUAAGGCUAGAAUGAAUGGUUUGACGAAAAUUAGACUGUCUUUAUUUUAUUUGUUAGAAAUUAAUUUUUAUAGUGAAAAAGCUUGAAUAAUUUAAGGGGACGAGAAGACCCUAUUGAGCUUUAUUUAUUAAUAUUUAAAUAUAAAUAUAUAAUUUAUAUUAUGAAAAUUAUGUUGUAUAUAUAUAUAUAUAUUUAAUUGAUUUAAUUUUGAUUGGGGUGAUCAAGGAAUAAAGAUAAAGUAACUUCCUUAAAAUUAAUGAUUGUUUUUAUAGAGUAAUAAACCAAGUUUUUUGCUUAUAAGAUAAGUUACCAUAGGGGUAACAGCGUAAUUUUUUUUGAGAGUUCAUAUUGAAAAAAGAGAUUGCGACCUCGAUGUUGGAUUAAAAAUUACCUUAAGG